GCUGCAAACAAGCAGCUUGCUGGAGAAGAAGAACAGAAGGAAAAUAAAAUAUUCAGGAGAUAUCACGGGAAGGGAGUGUUGGCUAUAUGAAGUCAUUAAGCAGUUUCUCAGGUUUUUGGUGUUUUUAUUUAUUUAUUUAUUAUUUUCUGUAAACAAAAUCGGCCCCUCAGAGAGUGAGAGCUGAACACGCAGGAGCUGUACCAGAGCUUCAGCUACAGAGAUAAAAGCUGGCCGGACAAAACCCACAGCAGCGUGUCGAAACGCUACCAUCUUCUAGGAAAACAACAGGCACAACUUGAAAUCCGAGGGCUUCAGGCUGUCCUUCCCGUCCCACCCCCUCCCCGCCCAGGCGCAGCCCCGGGCUGCAGCUCGAGCUUGGAGCGGUGCGACCAGCGGAACGGCAGGGUGCCGGUUUCUAGCUGUGCUAAUGACUAAGGGACGGAGCUUGCUUUCUGGCAAUUUCCAGGCAGGGAGAGAGAGCUGCGGCGCUCGUACCUCAGCGAAAGAGCAGAAAGAAGUAAAAAGUGGGAAAAGUAGAGAGAAUGAUGAACAAUAUGUACAGGAAGAAAACUGAAGAGAAAAACAGACUGAGGAUGAGAUGCCUGAGGGAAAGGCAGAAGAAAAAAACAACAUGGGGCUGAAAUGUCUUCUAUCAUCCAAUGAAAGGAAAGGAUAAAACAUACAGUACACAGAGCAGCUUUAUAUGAUUAUAGCAACUUGAGUUCUGAAAGAAAGGAGGCUCAGAAGAGAUUUCCUUUCCUUCCCAGAUAGAGCUUUUGUGAAACAUUGUCCUAAACAAAUAAAAGAUUUUUUGCUCAAAUGAUCUACCUUGCU
rnacentral:lncRNA from 1 species